rnacentral:lncRNA from 1 species
GCAAAACCCGAGUGGGAACAGCGCUAAGCGACCGAACUCCAAAUGCUUUAGAUUAAAACGAGCAGAGGCUGUUUAGGACUAGGACAGAAAUAGGAGCAAAUAAAAGCAAAAUUCUGCAGAAGAGGCUCUGGGUGCGUGAAGCACCUGAGAGCAAUUGCAAACGCAAAAGUGUCACUGUAACCAGAUACACAAACAUCAAGGCCCAGCCUUCAAGACCCUGUGGAGGUCCCCUAGGCCUCCUCCCUCUGCAAGAGAAGCCGGUGCCUGAAGCUCUGGACCUUCCUACUUGUCAUCCAAAGCGGGAUUUCCAGCCUUGUGAGGAGGGUGGGCAGCUCGUGUCCAGCACAGAGACCAUGUGGGCAGCUGCCAGUGAAAGUGAUCCCUGAAUUGCCUGCAGCUCCUGUCCUGCAGAACCAGCAGCCUCCAGGCUUCCCACACUCAUGUGCCAAUAGAUGCUUUCUUCAGAAGAAAAGAAUUUGGAGAAUGUUGAGGAAGAGGGGAAAAGUGCAGGAGAAACGGAGAGCUGGAUCCUCAUCUAACAGAGGACCUGCAUCUGCUUCUCUGUUGGAUGUAGCGGGUAGUACAAGAAAACCCCCAUAACGCUUUGUCUGUAGUGAAGCAAUGCACCAAAAGACCUGUUUUAAUGCUUCAAAUUCAGCACCCCUGUGAACUCCAAUCUCACACCUGCUCCGUGCGAGAUGGGUUAUGGAGAGUGGAGACAAGCGGGUGCAUCCAGCGGAGCCACUGCUUUGCUCCUCUCCCUGCCUGCAGGACAGGCUCUGGCUGCCUGUGAGCUGGUGUGGCUGCAGACUGGGGCUGUAAAACUGUGCUGUGUGACCUGAUGAUCUCCCUGGAGUUUCCUGGUGUUUCUGUUUUAUGGUCCUUUCACACCUUCCCAGCCUUCCCAGUGCUUGCACGACUGGAAUGCAGCACCAGACUCCAGGCCAAGACAGGUGAAAUGCUUGUAAAGUAACUGGGAAAUGAAAGAUUUUGCUCCCCUCCUCACCCAUUUUGGAUUUCCAUGGGAUUGCUAGCAUGACAGGGUUAUAGUUAUAUUUGAAGGAGCACAAGAUGUGAAUCACUGUGUGUAGGCUGGUAUUUCAAAUGUGACUGACAGUUGCUUUUCAACACUUGAAUAUCAAUAUGGUGCUGGUAGGUAUCUGUGAAUCUUUUCAACUGGCCACAGCAAUGCAGAGAAAGGCAGAUCUCACGUCCACGUUCUACUUGCUUUCUGGUAUCAGGCUCUAACUUCUGGAAUUUAGAACCACUUUUAGUCAUAAUGUCAUUUAAUCGUGUCUUUAUGCUUUCUUCCCCUUUUGUAAAUAAUUGACAUGAGAAAGGAAAAUACUAAAGAGGGUGGUGGUAGAAAAUGAACAGUGAAAAACAGUAAAUGCAAUGUCUGCCCCUUUCUCUACCUAUUUCUGAGUUUAGUUUAUUCAGAGCAUGUGAAGUAGCACAUUGUCUUUUCCAUGCAGGGAGAAACUGUGACUGAAGAUGAUAUAUGUUACCAGUACGAGUCUGAAUUUUUCAAUUUCUUUAAGAGUUAGCCUUGUAAUAAUGCCAGGUGUGAAUCUCAUCCAAGUAUUCAAUAUUUUGCCCU